rnacentral:lncRNA from 1 species
AGCGCGUGUUCGUCUCUCUGCGCGUCUGUCUAAAGUGUAAGAUUCACACGUAUUUUAUUCACGCGCACAUCCCGCGUCUAUGUAUGCAUGUAUAUCGCGCAACGUUCGGAUUUUAUCAUUGUUCAUUUCCGCUCCGAUGGAAAAUCCCUAAAUUUUCCCUCCUCUCGGGCUUUCCCAGCCGAUCACCGGCAUAAUUUAAUGCACAGAUUGUUCGUGAUUUAGACUUCUGGAAAUCUCUUUAUAAGUUUUAAUGAUGCAAAAUUGCAUCGUAGAAGAGAAAUCGUUUCGAAGAGACAAAUGUAAUCGUUAAAAAUCUUUGUUGCAGUCGCGAAAUUUUCAAGCCAUUAACACAUGUUCUUCACGCUCUCGGCUCCUCCUGAUCCCGUAGGGGAAAAUCAGGAAUUCGUUGUGGGAACGAGGAGCGGCUAGACGUAAUCGAAAUCCAUGGAAAAACACGACACGGAUUACCGGCGACAUAUUUUCGCUACUGUUUAUUGGUUGCGAUAGACCCGAUUUCUGGCACAGAUUCAGUAAAUUUCUGAAUACCAUUACUUGAUGAUUUCCAAAAUCGCUCGAAUUCGGCCACGGCCAUGUACCACACUGUACAAUGCAGCACGAGUGUACGCUUGAAGAUUUCUCCGCCUGAUUAAUUAUGCCUUUUGGAAUUAGACCAAACGAUUAAGAAACCAAUUCCAUUUGAGUGCACAAGUAACUGCGGAAUAUUACCGACCAUCAUCGCAGUACGUUCAACAACAAUGGAAAUCGGACAAUUCGCUAAAUACACGAACGGUGCGAAUGGCUAAAGUUACAAGAGACAAACGAUACCGCAGCGAUAUCAGCGCAUGUUAGCUGGCGUUUCGAACAGUAGUAGCGAGUGAAGUCCGCUAACGUCGGGAAGCUGAGAAACCGACCGACCGGCCUUCACGCGCCUCGCCUCGGCCCGAUGGCGCCAAGCUGACCUAUCUGCUCGCCACCAAUGUGGGCUGCCUCGCACCAGUCGCGACCGGCCGUCGACCGAUCAACCGUCCAAUCGUUCUUCGUGUGUUAUACGUGCGAGUUUUUCAGCACAGUUGUAUUACAGAUACAAGGAGCGUCACCCACACAACAGUCACAGCUGAUCUAAUAAAGAAGCAAUUUUUUAAUUUGAC